CAUAAUCAUUUGUCCACUAAUUAUGGACUAGUAUGAAAGGCAAAAUGAGGGUUUAACUGUCUCUUAUAGUAAGUCAAUUAAACUGAUCUACCAGUAAAAAAGCUGGAAUAAACACACAAGACCAGAAGACCCUGUGAAGCUUAAACUAAACUAUUAAACCACAUAAUAACUACUUUCGGUUGGGGCGACCUUGGAAAAUAAAAGAACUUCCAAACUAGUGACAAUCAAUCAUCCCCCAGGCCAACAAGCCACAUAUGACCCAGCACACCUGAUAAUUGAACCAAGUUACUCCAGGGAUAACAGCGCCAUCUUCUUCAAGAGUCCAUAUCAAAAAGAGGGUUUACGACCUCGAUGUUGGAUCAGGACAUCCUAA
rnacentral:rRNA from 1 species